UGAGGAAUAUUGCACAAUGGGCGCAAGCCUGAUACAGCGACGCCGCGUGUGGGAUGAAGGGGCUACGCCUCGUAAACCACUGUAGCCCGGGACGAAAAACGCCUUAGAGGCGUUAGACGGUACCGGGGAAGUAAGGGUCGGCUAACUACGUGCCAGCAGCCGCGGUAAUACGUAGGACCCAAGCGUUGUCCGGAUUUACUGGGUGUAAAGGGUGCGCAGGCGGAUGGGUAAGUCAGGGGUGAAAGUCUGCAGCUUAACUGUAGAAUUGCCUCUGAUACUGCUCAUCUUGAGUGUGGGAGAGGUUGAUGGAAUUCCAGGUGUGGCAGUGAAAUGCGUAGAUAUCUGGAAGAACACCAGUGGCGAAGGCGGUCAACUGGCCCAUAACUGACGCUCAUGCACGAAAGCGUGGGGAGCAAACA
rnacentral:rRNA from 1 species